rnacentral:pre_miRNA from 1 species
AUGAUACUCCCUCCGUCCCAGAAUUCUUGUCUUAGAUUUGUCUAGAAAUGGAUGUAUCUAAAUACUAAAUUUGACUAGAUACAUUCGUAUCUAAACAAAUAUCAGACAAGAAUUUUGGGAUGGAGGGAGUACUUU